rnacentral:rRNA from 1 species
GAUGAACGCUGGCGGCGUGCCUAAUACAUGCAAGUCGAGCGAACAGACGAGGAGCUUGCUCCUCUGACGUUAGCGGCGGACGGGUGAGUAACACGUGGAUAACCUACCUAUAAGACUGGGAUAACUUCGGGAAACCGGAGCUAAUACCGGAUAAUAUAUUGAACCGCAUGGUUCAAUAGUGAAAGACGGUUUUGCUGUCACUUAUAGAUGGAUCCGCGCCGCAUUAGCUAGUUGGUAAGGUAACGGCUUACCAAGGCGACGAUGCGUAGCCGACCUGAGAGGGUGAUCGGCCACACUGGAACUGAGACACGGUCCAGACUCCUACGGGAGGCAGCAGUAGGGAAUCUUCCGCAAUGGGCGAAAGCCUGACGGAGCAACGCCGCGUGAGUGAUGAAGGUCUUCGGAUCGUAAAACUCUGUUAGUAGGGAAGAACAAAUGUGUAAGUAACUAUGAACGUCUUGACGGUACCUAAUCAGAAAGCCACGGCUAACUACGUG